rnacentral:rRNA from 1 species
AUGAGAGUGUGUUUGGACUCAAAAAAAAAAAAUCCGCAGCCAUUCUCGAUCGAGCGCCCGCCCCCUCACGACACCCGCACCCCUACUCCUCGCUCGAUACAUUCCACACGCGCGCGCACACGUACACGGUACACCAAUCGCAAUCGACUCGCGCGCGCGCACGCUCGCUUCUCGCUCCACAAAUCAAGAGCCAAGCACCACGCUGGUUCCCGCCCAUCUCAUUCCCAUUUGUCCAUCCAUCGCGCACCUCCAGCAGCCUGCCCGCCCGCCCGUAUGUGCCUGCUGCUCUCUGGCAGCACCAGCGGACCAGCCAGCAUGAGCAGGAUCCACCCUUCCGAUCGCGGCGACGGCGCCCGCCGCGCGGCGCGGACGGCCGCGGCGGCGGAGCGGGAGCGGCAGCAGCCAGCUGUGUACACGGUGUGGAAGAGGUCCAGCAUGGGGUUCCAGGGCACCGACGGCUUCUCCGUCUACGACGCCGCCGGGAGGCUCGCCUUCCGCGUCGACAACUACGCCCGCCGCCCCAAGGCCUUCGCCGGCGAGCUGCUGCUCAUGGACGGCCGCGGCGCCCCUCUCCUCUCCCUCAGGCCGCAGAUCUUCAGCCUGCACGACCGAUGGAACUGCUACAGAGUUGCACCGGGAGAAGAAGGUUGCCCGGAGACGGACAAGAGCUCCUCCGCGCAGCAGCUCUUCUCCAUGCGGAAGUGCGCCGCUCUGCAGAGCACGGACGACGCAGAGGUCCACAUGUCAACGACCUCGGCGGCGACGACGUCAGGGCGCGGCUGCCGGGCUCCGCCGUCCCCUCCUUCCGGCUACCGCGUGGAGGGCUGCUUCUCCAGGAGGAGCUGCAAGAUCACCAGGAGCGACGGCCAGGAGGCGGCACGGAUACUGAGGAAGAAAGCCGGUGGACCUACGGCGGCGGCGGCGUCGUCGUCCAGGCCCGUCGCUCUCGGCGACGACGUGUUCAGCCUGGUCGUUCGGCCGGGCGUGGACGCCGCCACGGUCAUGGCUAUUGUCGUUGUCAUGGACCGGAUCUGCCGGAAGCCCUACGCACCAAUGGCGUGCUCUGCACAGUAA